rnacentral:rRNA from 1 species
UACGGAGGAUGCAAGCGUUAUCCGGAAUGAUUGGGCGUAAAGCGUCCGCAGGUGGCUAUGUAAGUCUGCUGUUAAAGAGUGAGGCUCAACCUCAUAAGAGCAGUGGAAACUACAUGGCUAGAGUGCGUUCGGGGCAGAGGGAAUUCCUGGUGUAGCGGUGAAAUGCGUAGGGAUCAGGAAGAACACCGGUGGCGAAAGCGAUCUGCUAGGCCGCAACUGACACUCAUGGACGAAAGCUAGGGGAGCGAAUGGG